rnacentral:rRNA from 1 species
AUUGAACGCUGGCGGCAAGCCUAACACAUGCAAGUCGAACGAGUGGCGGACGGGUGAGUAAUGUCUGGGACACUGCCUGAUGGAGGGGGUUAACUACUGGAAACGGUAGCUAAUCCCGCAUACCAUCGGAUGUGCCCCUAUGGGAUUAGCUAGUAGGUGGGGUAAAGGCGCACCUAGGCGACGAUCCCUAGUUGGUCUGAGAGGAUGACCAGCCACACUGGAACUGAGGAACGGUCCAGACUCCUACGGGUGGCAGCAGUGGGGAAUAUGGCACAAAGGGCGCAAGCCUGAUACAGCCAAGCCGCGUAUAUGAAGAAGGCCUUCAAGUUGUAAAGUACUUUCAGCGGGGAGGCGUUACCCGCAGAAGAAGCACCGGCUAACUCCGUGCCAGCAGCCGCGGUAAUUC